UACGUAGGGGGCAAGCGUUGUCCGGAAUCAUUGGGCGUAAAGAGCGUGUAGGCGGUCCGGUCAGUCGGUUGUGAAAGUCAAGGGCUCAACCCUUGAAUGCCGGCCGAUACUGCCGGGCUAGAGUCCGGAAGAGGUGAGUGGAAUUCCUGGUGUAGCGGUGAAAUUCGUAGAUAUUAGGAAGAACACCAGUGGCGAAGGCGGCUCACUGGUCCGGUACUGACGCUGAGGUGCGAAAGCGUGGGGAGCAAACAGG
rnacentral:rRNA from 1 species